CUGGAGAUCCUGGCCUGAUGUGAACACGGUGUUUGAUGAAUGAAGAGCCCCCAAGGCACCUCUGAGGCAUCCCUAGAAUUUCAGAGAGCAGUUUGAAACCAAAGCAUUGUAGAACUGCUCAACAUCUGCAGAAUUAAAUUUACUUUCUAAAAUUUACCUGUCCUAAACCAAACCUGGAUUGUAAACUUCUCAAGAGCAAGCAGUACUGGUACCUGUUGAAGACACAAGUGUCUGUCCAGUGAAUGAAAAGGCUAAACAGUUUAUUUUAUUUCAGGGAUUGGGCUUCUCCAGCCCCUGA
rnacentral:lncRNA from 10 species